rnacentral:rRNA from 1 species
UGGGGAAUAUUGGACAAUGGGCGAAAGCCUGAUCCAGCCAUGCCGCGUGUGUGAAGAAGGUCUUCGGAUUGUAAAGCACUUUAAGUUGGGAGGAAGGGCAGUAAGCGAAUACCUUGCUGUUUUGACGUUACCGACAGAAUAAGCACCGGCUAACUCUGUGCCAGCAGCCGCGGUAAUACAGAGGGUGCAAGCGUUAAUCGGAAUUACUGGGCGUAAAGCGCGCGUAGGUGGUUCGUUAAGUUGAAUGUGAAAGCCCCGGGCUCAACCUGGGAACUGCAUCCAAAACUGGCGAGCUAGAGUAGGGCAGAAGGUGGUGGAAUUUCCUGUGUAGCGGUGAAAUGCGUAGAUAUAGGAAGGAACACCAGUGGCGAAGGCGACCACCUGGGCUCAUACUGACACUGAGGUGCGAAAGCGUGGGGAGCAAACAGG